CCCUUAUUCUUGGCUUUCUUUCUGGGCUCACAAGCCUAGACACACCACCACGCUCCAACAACGUCUUCACAACCACUGCGUUUGGGUACAGGAAAGUUUGAGAGGUUCCCACGGCAGACACACACACGCGCGCCCAUAGCGCACGACGACGUCCUCCACCGAGAUCCACACCGCAGCACCAGUUAACGCACAAGCCUCAGACUCAACAUGGCAGGGAAGGCAACACGCGUGACCUACCGCAUCACAACCACACCACUGCCUCCCGCAGCGUGGGGCUCGCUCCCCCGCAGUGGGCGCCACCACCCACGCGCCUUCCGUGUCAGACACGUCUCCGAGGGGGAGAUGCUGGACACCGCGGUCUCUGAAUUGUCCUCUCUGUGUCUCUCCAGCUUCCGCGGAGACUCCCAGGCCCUCGGGAGACCAGGACGUCCCUCGGCGGUGGCGGCGCCGGCGCCACCGCCCCUCCCGCCAAGGCUACCGGGGAAAACCGCCUUAACCCGCACCGGGCAAGAGACCUGCGCGCGGGGCAGCUGGGGGGGAGGUUCCAAAGCGGCGGCGGCGCAGAGGAAGCUCCCGGUGGCGAGCGGCGCGGAAACUCCAGCCCGGUACACACCGAAUGUAAAGAGCCGGGGAUUUGUCAGGAGAAGGCGCUGCAGUCAGCGUCCCUGGGGACAACGGGUCAGGAGGUGGGUUCUUGGGGCUUCCUGAAGCCCCUUCAGUGCCAC